rnacentral:lncRNA from 1 species
CUCUCCUCCUGUGUCCCUGGGCCAGCCUCUUCCCUUCUCCCUCUUCCGCUCUCUUCUUUCUGUCCAUCUCUGUACCCCUUUCUCCCCCUCCACACCCUUCACCAUGUCUCCUCCCCUUCCUGCCUUCUUUAUACUGUCUGUUGCAUGGCUUGAUUGUUUGGGGAGGGGGUGAGGUGAGGGGGUGGGAACACCUUGGCAGGGCCUGCUAAGGCACAACCGCCUCCCUACAUCACACUGUCACUAUUUUAUAAAACGCAACAGUCUUCCCCUACCCAUGUUCCAUAACUUCUCCUGUCUUCCUAAUAGUUAGUCUGGUCUGACCCUACACACAUAGGGUAAGAGUGUUAAGUGACAGAUACCAUGGGGUUAAUAGACACACACCCCCUUAGAGCCAAUUUACAGCAACGGAAGAGUACAAAGGUAGCAGCCUUAGGCUAGGUGUACCUGGAAUCCUUUCUUGAAUUUCUUGUCUUGUUUUUGUGAAUGCUGCCCUAGCACUUAAAAUCUGUUCGUAUGCAUUACGUUGUUGUGGUGGUGUUGUGUGUGCACAUGCAUGAUAUCUGUGUAGGGACACACACGCCAACACACGGGGCUGGAGCCUGUGACAUCAAUCGGCAAUCAAGAACAGGACACAGAGACACGACUACAGGCCAAUAGGAUGGAUGCAGUUCCUCAGUUGAUCUUUCUUCCACACGGUGUGAGGCUACAAUCACGCUGUUGAAAGUGUUGUGGGAAUCUUUCUGGAGUAAACACUCCGACAACAAUGAGAGCAGAAGGGAGGAGGCAUCAUUGGCGGGACGGCUCCUGAAAGGCCUCAGCACGGGUCCAGUCUUCAUUCUCAUUUUAUACAUUAAAACCACAACGUGGAGUGAGCAAUCAAGGGAGGUUUUACAGCAGCAUCUGUGGUGUUCCACAGCGGUUGAGCUCAACUUGUGGUAACGCUGCCAUAGAGAGAAGUUUGCCCAAGAACUGCUCGUGAGGUUCCUGUGGCAAUUUGCUGCGUCAGUGGCCUUGCCUUGGGCUGGUUGGCGAGUCUUGUGGUUUCUUCGGAAUGGAACUGCAGCUGCUAGUUCAUGCUUGAUGUCUGACUGCAAAAGGACUGGACUGUAGCUGCUGGAGUAUGCAUGUUAUCUGCCCGCCUAGAGGAUUAGUCUGCAGCUGCUGAGUUGUAUUUUGUGUUUGCUAUGGGACUGACCUGCUGACAAAGAAGAUUGAGCUCACCCCCAAAGAACUAAUGCUGGACAGAUCCACUUCUCCCAUGUCCUAAUAUCUUUUCUCUCCCACUACCUCUGCUGGGUGGUGGGCUAGAAGAGAGGUUGAACCCUUAUUAAAAUGAGUGCUA